CAGAAUUGUUUUUUUUACGAAGUAACAAUGAAGCAACAAGAUCGUGGCUAUGUGUGGAUAUAAUUCUUUGUUUGGACAACAACUCGACAUGGUUUAAUACUUUGGACCAUUGGGAAUGUAAGCAGAUGAGGUUUUGAUGAGUUGUGUGCAUACCUGGACAUUCCUAAGUAAUCGAAGACAAUAAAGUGGAUGGAGAGACAGUGUGCUGCUUGACCGAACAGAAGGUGGCAUUUAUUUUUUCUGGGUCAUUUAAAAAGCAACUGAAAUUCAACACAUUUGUACAGGAACUAAAGCAUGUAACACUUACUUUAGUACCAGUGCCAGAUGUAAACACUGAGCAACCUUUGCAAACAGACAGAAAUGAGGCAAGUUGAAGGCUGCCUCUUGGUUUUCUUAUUCAACCUUUCCCGAGAGAUCUUCAGACCAAACUUGACAAAAGGGAAGCAUGUCAGAAGUCCGGCAAAGAUCGACAUACGAUGAUUCGUGUUCUGCAUGAAGCAGUUAUAGAACACACAAUGUAUCCCAACAAUGCGGAAUAUAUGCAAGUAGUCAGAGCACUUAUUGUGAAGUAUCCUUUCCUUAAGGAUCUGGAGGGAAACGGCUAUCAUACCUGGCAUCACUUAAACGCAAAUUAAAAGCGGAGCGUGCCGCUUUGAUUCAUGAAGACGAAGUGAAAAGGAGUAAAGAGAAGUUCGGUCACAAGAGAGCCAGAGAGUCUACAGAGGUGGCAGGAGCCUGUUGCAGAUCUGUGUCACGGAUGUGCGAUGAGGUUGACAGGAUGCAUCCAUCUGCGGUGAACUUGUACAGACGCUGGAAAGAGGGAUUCACUGGCAUAGUGCCUAAUUGGACCCUGUCAUGGGGUUUGGGGGAAGGAUAAAUAAAGUUGAAAGUUGAAGUUGAAGUUGAGGUGGUCAAGCUGGUGCGAGGAAAAUCCCCAUUAGCAAAAGUGUACACAGAAGCAAGGGAGGAAGUGCUGACAGAGGAUCUACAAGUAUGACCAUCAAAGUCCCUAUCCAACUGUACAGUUGGAAGACUGUAGGGGCGUCAAAUGGCUGAGCGGUGAGGGAGUCGGACUAGUAAUCCGAAGGUUGCCGGAUC